UAUACAUAUCCCAGCUGAAAUGAACUAGGA
rnacentral:piRNA from 1 species